rnacentral:rRNA from 1 species
UGGCGGGGUGCUUACACAUGCAAGUCGAACGGUGAAGCAGAGCUUGCUCUGUGGAUCAGUGGCGAACGGGUGAGUAACACGUGAGCAAUCUGCCCCUGACUCUGGGAUAAGCGCUGGAAACGGCGUCUAAUACCGGAUAGCUGCGACCGCAUGGUCAAGCUGGAAAGAAUUUCGGUCAGGGAUGAGCUCGCGGCCUAUCAGCUUGUUGGUGAGGUAAUGGCUCACCAAGGCGUCGACGGGUAGCCGGCCUGAUGACCGGCCACACUGGGACUGAGACACGGCCCAGACUCCUACGGGAGGCAGCAGUGGGGAAUAUUGCACAAUGGGCGAAAGCCUGAUGCAGCAACGCCGCGUGAGGGAUGACGGCCUUCGGGUUGUAAACCUCUUUUAGCAGGGAAGAAGCGAAAGUGACGGUACCUGCAGAAAAAGCGCCGGCUAACUACGUGCCAGCAGCCGCGGUAAUACGUAGGGCGCAAGCGUUAUCCGGAAUUAUUGGGCGUAAAGAGCUCGUAGGCGGUCUGUCGCGUCUGCUGUGAAAACCCGAGGCUCAACCUCGGGCCUGCAGUGGGUACGGGCAGACUAGAGUGCGGUAGGGGAGAUUGGAAUUCCUGGUGUAGCGGUGGAAUGCGCAGAUAUCAGGAGGAACACCGAUGGCGAAGGCAGAUCUCUGGGCCGUAACUGACGCUGAGGAGCGAAAGGGUGGGGAGCAAACAGGCUUAGAUACCCUGGUAGUCCACCCCGUAAACGUUGGGAACUAGUUGUGGGGUCCAUUCCACGGAUUCCGUGACGCAGCUAACGCAUUAAGUUCCCCGCCUGGGGAGUACGGCCGCAAGGCUAAAACUCAAAGGAAUUGACGGGGACCCGCACAAGCGGCGGAGCAUGCGGAUUAAUUCGAUGCAACGCGAAGAACCUUACCAAGGCUUGACAUAUAGAGGAAACGUCUGGAAACAGUCGCCCCGCAAGGUCUCUAUACAGGUGGUGCAUGGUUGUCGUCAGCUCGUGUCGUGAGAUGUUGGGUUAAGUCCCGCAACGAGCGCAACCCUCGUUCUAUGUUGCCAGCACGUAAUGGUGGGAACUCAUGGGAUACUGCCGGGGUCAACUCGGAGGAAGGUGGGGAUGACGUCAAAUCAUCAUGCCCCUUAUGUCUUGGGCUUCACGCAUGCUACAAUGGCCGGUACAAAGGGCUGCAAUACCGUGAGGUGGAGCGAAUCCCAAAAAGCCGGUCCCAGUUCGGAUUGAGGUCUGCAACUCGACCUCAUGAAGUCGGAGUCGCUAGUAAUCGCAGAUCAGCAACGCUGCGGUGAAUACGUUCCCGGGUCUUGUACACACCGCCCGUCAAGUCAUGAAAGUCGGUAACACCUGAAGCCGGUGGCCCAACCCUUGUGGAGGGAGCCGUCGAAAGGUUGA